rnacentral:tRNA from 1 species
AGAGAGGUGUCCGAGUGGUUGAAGGAGCUAGCUUGGAAAGCUAGUGUACGGGCAACUGUACCGUGGGUUCGAAUCCCAUCCUCUCUACAA